UCCGGAGGGCGCAAGCGUUGUUCGGAAUUACUGGGCGUAAAGGGCGUGUAGGCGGUCUGGUAAGUCGGUUGUGAAAUCCCCGGGCUCAACCCGGGAACUGCAUCCGAAACUGCUGGGCUAGAGUUCCGGAGAGGAAGGCAGAAUUCCCAAUGUAGGGGUGAAAUCCGUAGAUAUUGGGAGGAAUACCAGUGGCGAAGGCGGCCUUCUGGACGGUGACUGACGCUGAGACGCGAAAGCGUGGGGAGAAAACAGG
rnacentral:rRNA from 1 species